UACGUAGGGCGCGAGCGUUGUCCGGAAUUAUUGGGCGUAAAGAGCUCGUAGGCGGUUUGUCGCGUCGGGUUGUGAAAACCCAAGGCUCAACCUUGGGCCUGCAAUCGAUACGGGCAGACUAGAGUACUGCAGGGGGAGACUGGAAUUCCUGGUGUAGCGGUGGAAUGCGCAGAUAUCAGGAGGAACACCGGUGGCGAAGGCGGGUCUCUGGGCAGUAACUGACGUGGAGGAGCGAAAGCGUGGGGGAGCGAACAGG
rnacentral:rRNA from 1 species